rnacentral:rRNA from 1 species
CAGUCGCCGCUGUAAAACGGAGGGUGCAAGCGUUACUCGGAAUCACUGGGCGUAAAGGACGCGUAGGCGGAUUAUCAAGUCUCUUGUGAAAUCUAACGGCUUAACCGUUAAACUGCUUGGGAAACUGAUAAUCUAGAGUAAGGGAGAGGCAGAUGGAAUUCUUGGUGUAGGGGUAAAAUCCGUAGAUAUCAAGAAGAAUACCUAUUGCGAAGGCGAUCUGCUGGAACUUAACUGACGCUAAUGCGUGAAAGCGUGGGGAGCAAACAGGAUUAGAUACCCGCGUAGUCCCUGUCUCUUAUAC